rnacentral:rRNA from 1 species
AUGAGCGUCAUCCACCUGUCGCGGCUGGUGCGGCAGGGCCUCUGGGACGACGCCAUCGCCUACGUCUCCCGCUUCCUCCGCCCGGUAUCGCACCCGCAGAGCGACGAGGCACAGGUGCUCCUCCACUUCCUCAAGCACCACGCCCCCUUCGCCAGCAUGGUCGCCGGCGUGCCCGACCGCAACCUCACCUACUUCAACCGCAAGUACAACACACGGUACCUCAAGCACGACGACUCCGUCUCCCACGACGCCCUCCGGAUCCGCUCCAUCGUCCUCUCCAUUCUCCACUUGGAACAAGUCAGGUCCUCCCUGGACUGGGAGCGCGUUCGCUGGAAGGCCUCUCAAAUCGUCAAACACUUGGCUUACAAGGCUCCUGAGUUGAAAGGCCUGGUCAUAUUGCCGGGCGGCUCAACGAUGCCACACGAUGUACUUCCCAUCGGAUUCAGGUAUCGUCGGAGGCGCCACGUCAAGGAACAAGACCUGCCACGACCUAAAACACUGGCCAAGAUCUUCCUUAGGACCAAGAAGAGGCUGCCUUCGUCAACUCGCAGUCACGACAUAAACAGGGGAUUGACAGACAAGACAAGGAAGUGGCACGCAGAUCUUAUUGAUGAAAGCUUGCAAGCUGGUCUGGAACUUCAAUCAAGUGGGAAGGAAGGUGUUCCUGGUGCUCCAGUGUUGAACACCAUGUCUGGUACCGCAACACAUCUUACUAAAAAUUCUGGGGCCUCGUCGUUGACAAAUGCAGGUGCAAACUAUGUCAGCAUCUUUACAACAUGUGCGGAAGUAUCUGGUAUCUCAUCGGUCACAAAUCCAGGUGCUCUUGCUGCUUCAGUCUCGCAGACAGUGCUCAGAACACUGGAAUCGCAUCAGUGA